UUGAAAUCUGGCAGUCUUCGAUUGACCGAGUUGUAAUCUAUAGAAGCGUUUUCCGUGCUGAACUGUGUCUAAGUCCCUUGGAACAGGGUAUCAAAGAGGGUGACAAUCCCGUACUUGACACAAUCAUCAGUGCUCUGUGAUACGUUCUCUACGAGUCGAGUUGUUUGGGAAUGCAGCUCAAAAUGGGUGGUAAAUUCCAUCUAAAGCUAAAUAUUGGCGAGAGACCGAUAGCGAACAAGUACCGUGAGGGAAAGAUGAAAAGCACUUUGGAAAGAGAGUUAAACAGUACGUGAAAUUGUUGAAAGGGAAACGAUUGAAGUCAGUCGUGUUCAUUGGAUUCAGCCGGUCUUCGGUGUAUUUCCUUUGAACGGGUCAACAUCAGUUUUGUCCGGUGGAUAAAGGUAAUAGGAAGGUGGCUCCUCCGGGAGUGUUAUAGCCUAUUGCCACAUACACUGGGUGAGACUGAGGACUGCAGCUUGCCUUUAUGGCCGGGGUUCGCCCACGUUCAGCUUAGGAUGUUGACAUAAUAGG
rnacentral:rRNA from 1 species